rnacentral:rRNA from 1 species
AACGAACGCUGGCGGCAGGCUUAACACAUGCCAGUCGAACGCCCCGCAAGGGGAGUGGCAGACGGGUGAGUAACGCGUGGGAACAUACCAUUUCCUGCGGAAUAGCUCCGGGAAACUGGAAUUAAUACCGCAUACGCCCUACGGGGGAAAGAUUUAUCGGGGAAGGAUUGGCCCGCGUUGGAUUAGCUAGUUGGUGGGGUAAAGGCCUACCAAGGCGACGAUCCAUAGCUGGUCUGAGAGGAUGAUCAGCCACAUUGGGACUGAGACACGGCCCAAACUCCUACGGGAGGCAGCAGUGGGGAAUAUUGGACAAUGGGCGCAAGCCUGAUCCAGCCAUGCCGCGUGAGUGAUGAAGGCCUUAGGGCUGUAAAGCUCUUUCACCGAUGAAGAUAAUGACGGUAGUCGGAGAAGAAGCCCCGGCUAACUUCGUG